GACGAACGCUGGCGGCGUGCUUAACACAUGCAAGUCGAACGGAAAGGCCCUGCUUUUGUGGGGUGCUCGAGUGGCGAACGGGUGAGUAACACGUGAGUAACCUGCCCUUGACUUUGGGAUAACUUCAGGAAACUGGGGCUAAUACCGGAUAGGAGCUCCUGCUGCAUGGUGGGGGUUGGAAAGUUUCGGCGGUUGGGGAUGGACUCGCGGCUUAUCAGCUUGUUGGUGGGGUAGUGGCUUACCAAGGCUUUGACGGGUAGCCGGCCUGAGAGGGUGACCGGCCAAAUUGGGACUGAGAUACGGCCCAGACUCCUACGGGAGGCAGCAGUGGGGAAUAUUGCACAAUGGGUGGAAGCCUGAUGCAGCAACGCCGCGUGCGGGAUGACGGCCUUCGGGUUGUAAACCGCUUUCGCCUGUGACGAAGCGUGAGUGACGGUAAUGGGUAAAGAAGCACCGGCUAACUACGUG
rnacentral:rRNA from 1 species